rnacentral:rRNA from 1 species
UGGGGAAUAUUGGACAAUGGGCGGAAGCCUGAUCCAGCCAUGCCGCGUGUGUGAAGAAGGCCUUUUGGUUGUAAAGCACUUUAAGCGAGGAGGAGGCUACUUGGAUUAAUACUCUAGGAUAGUGGACGUUACUCGCAGAAUAAGCACCGGCUAACUCUGUGCCAGCAGCCGCGGUAAUACAGAGGGUGCGAGCGUUAAUCGGAUUUACUGGGCGUAAAGCGUGCGUAGGCGGCUUUUUAAGUCGGAUGUGAAAUCCCUGAGCUUAACUUAGGAAUUGCAUUCGAUACUGGGAAGCUAGAGUAUGGGAGAGGAUGGUAGAAUUCCAGGUGUAGCGGUGAAAUGCGUAGAGAUCUGGAGGAAUACCGAUGGCGAAGGCAGCCAUCUGGCCUAAUACUGACGCUGAGGUACGAAAGCAUGGGGAGCAAACAGGAUUAGAUACCCUGGUAGUCCAUGCCGUAAACGAUGUCUACUAGCCGUUGGGGCCUUUGAGGCUUUAGUGGCGCAGCUAACGCGAUAAGUAGACCGCCUGGG